GGAGAGAUGGCUCAGCAGUUAAGAGCACUGGCUGUUCUUCCAGAGGUCCUGGGUUCACAACCCAGCCUCCCUA
rnacentral:tRNA from 1 species